rnacentral:rRNA from 1 species
CGUUAGCGGCGGACGGGUGAGCAACACGUGGGUAACCUACCUAUAAGACUGGGAUAACUUCGGGAAACCGGAGCUAAUACCGGAUAAUAUUUCGAACCGCAUGGUUCGAUAGUGAGAGAUGGUUUUGCUAUCACUUAUAGAUGGACCCGCGCCGUAUUAGCUAGUUGGUAAGGUAACGGCUUACCAAGGCGACGAUACGUAGCCGACCUGAGAGGGUGAUCGGCCACACUGGAACUGAGACACGGUCCAGACUCCUACGGGAGGCAGCAGCC